GACAUGUGGGUGAGGCAGAGAAGAGUGCAACAGAGCCUCCACCAUCUGAAUGCUCUUCAAGAGGAGGAAAAAAAAAAUUGGAGCACCGAGCAAAAUAUACUUCGCAGGCAGAAGGAACAGGAAAAGAGGGAGCUAGAGGAAAAUUUAAGCAGAUAAUUUUGUAAACUACUAUCCUCUCCAAUAGGACCAUCAAGUGGGCACAGCUAGGAAGUAAAGGAAGAGGUGACCAAGAGGAGAAGUAAAGAACCUUGUCUUUGAUAUGGAACUAAUAAUGCACAUACCUGGUCUAAGCUAUUGUUGUUCCCAGGCAAAAGAAAAGAAUAACUUCUAGCCGUAUCAGCCAGCCAAUGUUACUUUUUUUUUAAAUGAAAAUUGAAUAUGAUAAGGAAAGACAACAAUGCCUGAAGAGGAAUACUGAAGAUGAACAAAUCAUUGUGUCACUGGAGGAAAUGACAU